AUUGAACGCUGGCGGCAUGCUUUACACAUGCAAGUCGAACGGUAACAGGCCUUCGGGUGCUGACGAGUGGCGAACGGGUGAGUAAUGCAUCGGAACGUGCCCAGAGGUGGGGGAUAACGCAGCGAAAGCUGUGCUAAUACCGCAUGUGAUCUGAGGAUGAAAGCGGGGGACCAGGCAGCAAUGUUUGGCCUCGCGCCUUUGGAGCGGCCGAUGUCAGAUUAGGUAGUUGGUGGGGUAAGGCCUACCAAGCCGACGAUCUGUAGCUGGUCUGAGAGGACGACCAGCCACACUGGGACUGAGACACGGCCCAGACUCCUACGGGAGGCAGCAGUGGGGAAUUUUGGACAAUGGGCGCACGCCUGAUCCAGCAAUGCCGCGUGCGGGAAGAAGGCCUUCGGGUUGUAAACCGCUUUUGUACGGAACGAAAAGGCUCUGGCUAAUACCUGGGGCUGAUGACGGUACCGUAAGAAUAAGCACCGGCUAACUACGUG
rnacentral:rRNA from 1 species